rfam:Ruminococcaceae bacterium D16 genomic scaffold acsPy-supercont2.2, whole genome shotgun sequence.
GGGGGCGUACCGGUUUCGACGGGGACGCGGAAGUGGGAAUAGCGGGCGGUGGCGCCUGGCCACCUUAAAACGGGCAUUCUUUAUAAAUUAAAGAACAACGAUAAUUACGCUUACGCUGCCUAAUUAAAGGCGGCCGUCUGACCCGGAAGGACCACGAGCCGGGAUCAGGCGUCGUUUAGUGGUGCACGUGCGCCGGCAAAGCUUUGCGCCGGCCAUGAAUUAUGAAGCUUACCUGACCCUCAGGCGUGACGGCUUGCCUGGGGAGAGGGGAACGGGAGGAGCAAGACCUCCGCAAUAACCGUCUGCGCCCGGAGAAGUUCCCAUGGAAGAGUUUUCGGACGGGGGUUCGACUCCCCCCGCCUCCACCA